GCGUCCAUUUUUUGUUUAAUCUUUUAUUCCAUAGACUAUCAUAUCUAUCAGAUUCUUCAUAACUGACUGUAUAAUAAUUAGGUCUUAAUUCUUUUGGAUUUUUUACUUCUAAUGUACUUGGUUUUGUAUCUUUAAUAUCUUCCGUAUUUAUUUCUAUAGGAUUACCAGCUUCAGUUUCUAUAAACUUAUUAUCUCCUAUUUUCUCUAAUAUUUCUGUAUAUGUUUCACUUAUAUCUGAGCCUUGUUCUGAACAAUUUUCAUCUAUAUCAACAUUAUCAACUCUUAUAUCUGGAGUUUCUUUUUCUUCAGUUAAUUUUUCUUUAAAUUUUUCUAUUUCCAUUUUUAAUUCUGUUUCCAUUGUUUUUUCCCCUUUUCUAAGGCAAUUAUCUUAUCAUUUUUUACUUCUUCUAUUUGUUGUAUUUCUAAUUUUGCUUGUUGCUUAAUUGUAUCUAUUUCUCUUUUUCUGUCAAUUUCUUCAUUUUCUUUAUUUAUUCGUACCAUAGCAGUUAAACUAUCUUCUAAUUUUACUGUUUCUUUUUCUAUCAUUAGAUAUAAGUUUUCGCCUAUCUUCUUGUAUCGUCUUCCUAAAUUUGAAAAUAUUAUCUUUAUUUUUAAUCCUUC
rnacentral:lncRNA from 1 species